rnacentral:rRNA from 1 species
UAGUCCACGCUGUAAACGAUGUCUACUUGGAGGUUGUUGUCAUGAAUGAUGGCUUUCGGAGCUAACGCGUUAAGUAGACCGCCUGGGGAGUACGGUCGCAAGAUUAAAACUCAAAUGAAUUGACGGGGGCCCGCACAAGCGGUGGAGCAUGUGGUUUAAUUCGAUGUAACGCGAAGAACCUUACCUACUCUUGACAUCCAGAGAAUUCGCUAGAGAUAGCUUAGUACCUUCGGGAACUCUGAGACAGGUGCUGCAUGGCUGUCGUCAGCUCGUGUUGUGAAAUGUUGGGUUAAGUCCCGCAACGAGCGCAACCCUUAUCCUUGCUUGCCAGCACGUAAUGGUGGGAACUCCAGGGAGACUGCCGGUGAUAAACCGGAGGAAGGUGGGGACGACGUCAAGUCAUCAUGGCCCUUACGAGUAGGGCUACACACGUGCUACAAUGGCGUAUACAGAGCGCAGCAAGACCGCGAGGUGGAGCGAAUCGCACAAGUACGUCGUAGUCC